AUUGAACGCUGGCGGCAUGCUUUACACAUGCGAGUCGAACGGUAACAGGGUGCUUGCACCGCUGACGAGUGGCGAACGGGUGAGUAAUGCGUCGGAACGUGCCGAGUAGUGGGGGAUAACGCAGCGAAAGUUGUGCUAAUACCGCAUACGUACUGAGGUAGAAAGUGGGGGACCUUCGGGCCUCACGCUAUUCGAGCGGCCGACGUCUGAUUAGCUAGUAGGUGAGGUAAAGGCUCACCUAGGCGACGAUCAGUAGCGGGUCUGAGAGGAUGAGCCGACACACAGGGACUGAGACACGGCCCAGACUCCUACGGGAGGCAGCAGUGGGGAAUUUUGGACAAUGGGCGAAAGCCUGAUCCAGCCAUGCCGCGUGUCUGAAGAAGGCCUUCGGGUUGUAAAGGACUUUUGUCAGGGAGGAAAUCCCUAGCGUUAAUACCGCUGGGGGAUGACAGUACCUGGAGAAUAAGCACCGGCUAACUACGUGCCAGCAGCCGCCGUAACAC
rnacentral:rRNA from 1 species